CAAUGAUCACAUUAAUAGAGACCUUCGCAACCGUUUAAAUUUUUCAUAAUUCUUUUUUUCUUUUCUGUUUAAUUACAAAUUUUUAAUGGACAACUGUUUUUUGGCUUACAAAUUUUUGGGGAUCCAAUAAACAAUGCCACUUCCAAAACAUACUAACCUUCAUGUAUUGCUAUCCUUUUCUCUAAACAAAAUUAAUGGAAACAAAAGAAUCAAUUAACAGAAUUCUUCUGGUUUUGGUUUAGGAAACCUUCUAUAUCCAAACUUUGCAUCCACAAAACCUAAUUUUGUCGAACUCCAACCACAAUUUCUCCUUCCCUAAUCCUUUCCGCUCUCCAAAUCUCCUGCAAAAAUUUGUUUCUCUUCACACUUGCUUAUUUGUUAACACUAUUUUUUCCCUUCUUGAAACUUUUGUGGUUAGCAUUGAUUUUAUUCUAUGAUAUUAAUGUGUGCGUAAUCUUGGAUUUUGAAUAGAAUUACUCUGGUUUCAGCUAUCACACUUUGAUUUAGUGUGGAAAUCAAUCACCAAGUAUAACUGACGAUUUCAAUUUUGAAUUUGGGGUUUUAAUGUGUGCGUAAACUUAGAUUCUGAGAGAGCGUGUCAUAUUGUUGUGAUUUAGGGGGUGUUUGGCUUAACUUUUCACAGCCAAAAGUUCUUUUUGGAAAAGAAAAAAAAGCAAAAGAUGUUUGGCAAACUAGUUUUAAAAGUUACUUUUGAAGUUUUUACAUAAGAAAAGGAACUUUUUGGAAAAGUCAGGAAACUUUUUAUAACUUUUCCAAAAAUGACUUUUGGGGUUUGAAAAGCUAAGCCAAACACCCCCUUAGAAUUCAUUGCAGAAGAAGGCUUAUUAGGUAUACAUUUCUUCAUUUCCUUCUACUUGUCUUCUCUUUUUAGCAAUUAGGAUAGGAAAGGAUUGUAAAAGAAUGAUUCAAUAUUAAAAUUAAUAAAGGGUAGAUUUGAGAGAAUUUAAAAAAAAAAAAAAAAAAAAGUUUGUUGAAACGCUAGUCUAGUCUAAGUAGCUUUUUUAAAAAUCUAGCAUAAAAGUUCUAUCUUUUUGGCUUGCCAAACAUGACAGCCUAAAAAAACUUGAAAAAUAAGCUAACUGCGACAUGACAAACAUAGUCAUAGACUCGCUAUUCAUCUAUUGUUUAUGCAAAAGAUGUUAAUGUCAUUUCCAUUCUUAUCAUUGAAAAUAGACAUAGAAAGCUUGUGUAGUUGAGUCAUGUUCCUUGUAACAAGGGACAAUGUUUGGUAAUGAUAUUUGACUUGUAUACACCUUAACAGACCAUUAAGGUUUGCUCAUUUCUUCAUAUUGAUUUCUCCUUGUCGAUUAUGGAAAAUUUGCUUUUACAAGAAUGAGACAUCGUGCGAGUAAAGAAUAUGACCAUUACAAAGGGUACAUGUGUCAAAUUGUAACCACACACAUUCGACUUUCUCAACAUUUCCAACCCAAAAUCAAUGUAAGUCAACAAGACAUAUAUUAAAAGACCAAUGUAUUCUCAUUAUAUAUAAUGAGCAGAAUUAAAAAAAAUAAUAAUAAUAAAAUAAAAAAAAAAGAUUUUUCAAGUCAUUUACGUUGAACUUUUCAGUUUUCUUUUUAAUAUCAAAACAUUCCAAGUCCAUUUUCAUGUUACAUCAAGUGCUCCAGUAGUUCCAACGAGGGAGGAUUAGUUUUGUUUAUUGAAAGGAUUGUCGAAUGUAGAGUUGGCAUGUUAGCAGGUUUUGUCCCUAGACAUAUGUAGGUCGGAAAAUGUGGUCUCCCCACAAAUAAAUAAAUCCAUUGUUCUAUAAAACUGAACACUAUUCCUCUCCUCAAAUUUAAUAUAACAUGAUGACGGAUUAAUUGCUUUGAUAAAUCUAACAACAUGACGGAAUUAAUAAAAAUUAAAGGAAGAUUAUACCUGAAUGAUGCGUUGGAUUAUAUUGAUGAUGGAUUGUGUUGAAUGAUUAGAUGAUUAUAUGGAUAGUUUGGAUAGAACUCUGCUAUUCAAAAAUAGAACAACUAUUUCAACAGAGAAGACAAUUGAGAUCAACUCAAGUCUUAAACACUCAAACUUAGCUUGUUUAUUUCAUUUGGGCAAAGGCCCUAUUUAUAGGCUCAAGAGAGCCGGUUACAAUUACUGUUGCAAUCGUUUGAUUGCAAUAUGACACAUAUAUAUUUACAUUAUAGCCUCCUAGACUAUUGAGGGUUAUACACUUUAUGUUACAUCAACCUACACUUAAUAAUUAUUCUACCGACACUUAUUUAAUUACAUAACAAUCCUUCUACCGACACUUUACAUAAUGAAAAAUAUAAUAAUCCCUUUCAUGAAAGGACAGGUGUCUNAACUUCCGCGGGGACCGGGCAAUUUGUAGUUAAUAAUAGUUAGAAAUGUCAAAAAUAAAUGAAAGAUAAAUUGAAGAAGACAUUAUAGUCAUUUUACACAGUUUUGAAAAUCGGAUUAUUGAGUUCGCCUGGACUACGCUGGCUUUGGGAUGCCAGGCUUGAUGCUUCAAGAAAGUUCCAAACCAAUCUCUGGCACUUGGUAAAGAUUUGUGAUUUCCGGGUGAUGACAAGUAACUCGUGAAGGUCUAUAGUCAACUACGGCUAUUGAGCGUCGAGACCAAGAAUUUGAAGAAAGAUCUCUGCUUAGGCUUAAAAUCUCUCUACCUCUCAAAGUCACCACUCCGUCCAAGUGUGGAGGUCAGAAUCCCAUCCUAUCCACCCGGGCCGUCGUCACCACCUUCUUUUGUCCGAUCCUUCUCCUCUUGAAAGGAUGAAGCGGACACAUUUAUAAUAACAAAGAAUGAAGCAUGCAACUCAUUACUUAAUUAUAUCUAACAAUAAACAAAUCAUAUUUAUCUUAUUUGGUAGUAUUCGUCGAUCGUUCUUGUAUCUAUUUGUAUCCACA
rnacentral:lncRNA from 1 species